rnacentral:tRNA from 1 species
GCGAACGUAGCUCAGUUGGAUAGAGCGAGGCACUCCUAACGCCUAGGUCGUGGGUUCGAUUCCCUCCGUUCGCGCCA